rfam:Hordeum vulgare subsp. vulgare, WGS project CAJW01000000 data, contig: morex_contig_39093
CAGAUGUUCCCUCCUUCCGGAAAUACUUGUCAUAAAGAUGAAUAUAUCUAGACUUAUUUUAGUUAUAGAUACAUCCAUUAUAUCCAAUUCUAGGACAAGUAUUUUCGGACCGAGGGAGUACCUU